rnacentral:lncRNA from 1 species
CUUUGAAUAAUUUCAAUAUUAAACCAUUUUCUAUUAAUCGCAGUCUUGCAGUACAUUUGGUGAUCCCACAAGAGAGUUAGUGUUCUUUGACUUUUUUUAAUAGUUUGAAACUAUUGAAGUAAGUCAAGUAACUAAGCUCAGAGAAGAGAAGCAAAUUUAAGCACAUUUAGGAACGUACUGGUUUUCUUAUAGAAAAUAUCAUCGCCAAUCAGGAAGCCAAUUUUCUCGUAAAUCUUCACUUCUGCAUAGAUAAAACGACAGUCUAAAAGGUAUAAUUACUGAUAGUAGCACCAACCACGAUCAAUUAGUGAUAUUUAGUAUAUAGGUUCAGUAUCUAUCCUGGUGCUAAUUUGACAUAAACUUAUAAGAAAAUAUCAAAA